rnacentral:tRNA from 1 species
GCUAACUCAAUGGUAGAGUACUCGG